rnacentral:rRNA from 1 species
UACAGAGGUCCCAAGCGUUGUUCGGAUUCACUGGGCGUAAAGGGUGCGUAGGUGGUGAGGUAAGUCGGAUGUGAAAGCUCGGAGCUCAACUCCGAAAUGGCAUUGGAAACUACCUUGCUCGAGGGUUGGAGGGGGGACUGGAAUUCUCGGUGUAGCAGUGAAAUGCGUAGAUAUCGUGAGGAACACCAGAGGCGAAGGCGGCUACCUGGACAAUUACUGACGCUCAGGCACGAAAGCGUGGGGAGCAAAAGGG